rnacentral:rRNA from 1 species
AACGAACGCUGGCAGCAGGCUUAACACAUGCAAGUCGAGCGCCCCGCAAGGGGAGCGGCAGACGGGUGAGUAACGCGUGGGAAUCUACCCAUCUCUACGGAAUAACGCAUGGAAACGUGUGCUAAUACCGUAUACGUCCUUCGGGAGAAAGAUUUAUCGGAGAUGGAUGAGCCCGCGUUGGAUUAGCUAGUUGGUGGGGUAAAGGCCUACCAAGGCGACGAUCCAUAGCUGGUCUGAGAGGAUGAUCAGCCACACUGGGUCUGAGACACGGCCCAGACUCCUACGGGGGGCAGCAGUGGGGAAUAUUGGACAAUGGGCGCAAGCCUGAUCCAGCCAUGCCGCGUGAGUGAUGAAGGCCCUAGGGUUGUAAAGCUCUUUCACCGGUGAAGAUAAUGACGGUAACCGGAGAAGAAGCCCCGGCUAACUUCGUGCCAGCCGCCGCGGUAACAC